UAGGAAGGCUUCUGGAGCCUUGCAGCCUCCCUGCAAUCAUGGGAGCUGCUUUGGCCUGAAAGUUGAGCAGAACUUGCCUUUAUUUUUUAGGACAGAAAUCAUUCUUGCAUAGGACACCCACUGUUUGGGGACGUGGCAUUAGGAUCUCUCACAAGAUCCUGUGAUCUGCACCAUGUGGGUGCUGCUGGCACAGGGGUGACGUUUGCCCUUGCUGGGACUGGGUGGUUGUUGGAGCUGGUUAUUUGCUUUGAGUGAUUGAUCACAUCUGUAUGGAACAUAAUGCUGCUUUGCGAAACAGCCCUUUUACGUGUCAGACUGACUCACAGCGUGACCUGAUGUAGAUUUAAGGAGAUAUUUAAGGAACAACUGAAAUUCACAGAGAACCAUGCUACUUUUUUAUUCUUGCCCUGGAGCUAAAGGCCCUUGUCAGCUGAUGGGAACAGGGCACAGUGUCCUACGGGGUCCCUCGUGAUGGCCAUGGACAUGGAGCUGUGCCGCUAGGUGCUGCAGCGCUACACCCCACCUCUGCCUCGCCAGGGUGAACCUGUCCAGUUCACACCAGUGUAAUUUGGUGAAGAGGAUGAGGAAACUGUCCUGGUGUUCCCUGAUCUGCUGCACCCCGCUGUGCGGUCUCAGGGAGGUCAGCGUGAACCACACCACAAUGGCACCGAGGCCCCGCGUUUGCAGGUGGAUGUGCCUCCUUCCAACUCCAGGGAAGCCCGAGAGUUCCAUACCCAGGCCCAUCCUGUGAACUUCAAAGAUGUGGGUGCAGAUGUUGGAUGGGAAUCCAGCCCAGCCCUUCACAAGCUGCUGUCCCCGCAGGAGCCGCCGCUGCAGAGGGCUGGGGAUGCAAUUUGGUUUGGGAAUAGAGAGCCUGUCAAGCAGUGAGCUGAAAAGUUGGAGUUUUCAAAGGGAAGCACAGCCCCUCAAGUGCUGCCCGUGUUGAGGGCAGUCUGAGCUCCUGCUCAUUCCCUGACAUCUCAGCGCUGAGGGCUGACGGGGCUGGGGAUGCGUCAGCCCUGUGCCAGGUAGUGGAUUUCAGCCUGCAGCAGCACCAGCUUUUGCCAUUUUACCCCAGAUUUUGUUACAGUUGUUUUUCAAAGCUCUAGUUCCCCAUGUCCUGUAAUUACUUGGAAGUUUCAGCAUUCUGAAAGCUGAAGGUAAAUUGACAACUUUGGGGAUUAUACAGAAUAGCUUGGAAACAACCAAAGAGUUUUAAAAGGAAGAAGGGCAAAUAGAGGAAACCCCAAAUUGUGUUUCUUUGAAAUCUCAAGAUUUGUAAGGCAAACUCAUGAUUUUGUGGCCUAGGACAUGACUGCUAAGUGCUUGGUGUUGGCAGUGCUGUGCUUAUUUUCCAUGCUUGGAUUUCUGUAUAGCUUUAUACACAUUAUGAAAAAUACAGUAUUUUAUGUUAUUUUUUAAAGGAAGCAGAUCACUUUGUUGGAUGAUCUCCAAACCAGACUGUAACAUACCAUAAAAAUUCUAUAGUGCACUGUAACAGACUACAAAAGGCUAAGAUGUUACUUUACCAGCACAAAAACCAGGCGCAUUAUGGAGGAAGAUAAUUAUAAGGUAUAUUUAUAGCCAAAGAGAAAGAAAAAAUAUACACUGUGUGUGUAUCCUGCAUAUUGAAAUUUCAGAACAAAAUUUGAUUAGAUCUUUGUAAAUGAAAUCCCCAUAUGCUGGUUUAUGAUAUACUUAUUUCUCAGCCUUUCAAACGAUGGCUGCCCUCGCCGCGAAAGCCGGUCAUUGCAGACAGCAGCUCUGUAAUUCACAACUGGCACAGGCAGAGUUUGUGGAUUCGAGUCUGGCAAAUGCCAGUCCCAGCGUAUCUGUUUCAGAGGCACAUGCCGGGAUUCCCGUGAAGGAGGCAGAGGAACCAUAUUGCAAAAGACAUCUAUAACAACUUCUUUUUCUUCUUCUUUUUUUAAAUGUGUAAUUAUAAAGAUGAAGUCACUAGUUUUGUUCAUUAAAAACCAACACUAAUAUAAUACAUAAUUAUAACCAAAAAGAAAAUGUAUGAUCUUUGUAGGCUUCAUCUAAAUGUCCCCUUCCCUAGAGGGGAUACUUCCUGCUAUAUUUGCAAAAAAUGUGUGCUUAGUGCCCAAGUCAUGAAUGAGAACUAAAAGCAACUGGAACACGGCGCUUUCUCCUGUGAGACAGAGCCAGCUCAGGACUGGAUCAAGACCUAAUUAAAGGAGCAUCUGAAAGGUGAGAUUGAGAUGCCUUUUCUCACACUAAUGAAGUGUCAGUUUUCCUGAAUCACGUUGCUGUACCAUGGACUUCCACGGCUUUGCCCCUGUACUGAGAGCAGGUUCGACACCUGGGGUCCUUUCCAGCCCUGAGCAGGUUUGGAGAUUCCUGCCUAAACGACUUGUGAGAACAAGAAUUCAAGCAUGAUUUCUUGAUGUGGUUUGAGCCAUAUUACAGUUUGCUGCUGCUGGAAGAGGGAGAUCCUGUUCUUCCAUGUGCUCCCCAGCUUCUGGCCACGUUCCUGCCAGUCAAGCUCUGUCACUCAAACCAGUGGAUGUGCCACAGGGUCCUGAUGUGACGUCCUCAGCUUCUGCAGGGACACCCGGGCUGCUGGACACAACACAGGACACACUUUCCCGAGCGCCACUUCUCCCUUUCUGCACGGGCCAAAGUUGCCUCCAGCUGCCACACAGAGGUCUGCAGGGAAUAAAACACGAGUACUCGGUGCCAGCUCACCAGGAGUGUUACCUGGAAGGUCUUGAUCAAAGCCUCGGAGGAAGGUGGUGGCUCAGCGUGAACCUGAGUGUCAGGCUCUCCUUUCACCACUCUUCUGGUUGUAGAAAUAGGAGCUCAACUAGGGACAAAACAAGAACUAGAGGUUUUAGUGACUUCUGACUUCUCGCUGGAGGAUGCGUUCUGUUGCGGACCAAAAGGAGCCCGCGACAACUGAUUCGACUUUUAAGAAAGAAAUUCAUGGUUGUAACCACCUUAGCCUCUGCCAUGGGGGAUGUAAGAGGCUGCGAUGGGUUGGUAGUUUAGUUUUGCCUCCAGUCCUGAAAAUGGGUUUAUUUUAUCUCUUGUGGAGAUUGGUUUGUGUGUCCUUUACUAUGGAGCCUUCACGUCACGGGGCCCAGCUUUCCUCUCUGAGGUUGAAUGAGGCAGCUUUCCCGGAGCGGGACUGUCACUGGGUGAUGGCUUUGUCUCCACGAUACUGAAAACAGACAUCAAGGCACUUUUCACUAACACAUUCCAUCAAUGCUAGAGGCUUGUCAUGCAGGGAGCAAACACCGAGAGAAGCAAAGGAAGCAUUUACAAUUUGCUGCUGCGAAAGGAGACAAGAUAAAUCAAUAGGAACUAAAUUAGAACAGCCAGCGGCCCUCACACCUACUUUGGAAACUCUAUUAAAAUCCAUGGCCUAGAAUUUGCAGGAGGGAUUGUAUGCGUGAAGGGUGAGUCAAGAUUUGAGAGCGAGCUAAUGUAAGUGACACCCACUUCUCAAACUGCCUGAAAACACUUGCUGCCAGAAUGCGCUGCCAGAGACAAGAGUUCUAGUAAGUAUUUGCUGGCUGUCAUUGGCCUCAGAUAAACACGUUGGGAGGGGAAUAGUGGAGGAGUCAAUCAAAAGAUAACACUGAGUAAAGCUCAGUUGUGUAACACAACAAGAAGUCAAAUUUAACCAAAGCUGAACAUAUGUCAGAGUACCGGGGGCACAGCGAGACGUGUGAGGGCCCAAUCAGAAUCCAGAGAGUCCUAUUUGAGAACAACACACAGGACUGAGAUCUGACAGACACCUUGUGUGAUUGAGUUGGUUGUGUGAUCGUGCUGCUCUUGGGUGACCUUUUUAAUUCAACUGAACUGAAAUCUGUCCUAGGCGUUUGCAGAACUUUGUAGAUUUCUGACAGCAUCCCACUGACACGCUGAGGUACAAGAAGACUUGCUAAAAGUCAGCUUGAGGUAAUUAGUCCUGCAGAAAUCUGUUUAUUGGUGCAGUGAAUACAGCAUUUGCAGGAAGCAUCCGGUGUGCGUGUUCUGUGCAGUUGAUCCACGCAUGCGCAGUGAUCUCAGACACUGGAUGUAGUGUAGAAGCACCAAACAGCUCAAAUCUCCAAGGCCACAUGUGUUGUAGAGUUGAUCCUGGUGUAUGUGACAAAUCAAGGAUUGCCAGAAGUCCUGUAAUUGCUACUCCCAACCUGGCUGCUGGAUGUUCGGGAAUCCUAGGCGAAUGUAUGAAGUCUGCUGCUUCUGCCAGGCAUAACUUGUACAAGAAAAAAAAAAGGAAAGUAUCCAGGAAAACCUGAGCACAUGGCAGCUCUGUGCAAAGAAGAUAUCACUGUCAGCACGCUCGGUCCUGGCUCCCAGACUCUCACUUUUUCACAGCACCUUCAGGAGAAUUCCCUUUUUCUCUGGCACUGACUGGUGUUUGGCUCGCUGGUUGAGCCCCCUGGACCUGCAGGGGAAGAAGAGCUGGUCAGGGCUGGCUGUGCAGCUGCGGAUUUUUCAGCUCUGCCCCUUCCCAGAGCUUCCCAAGGAAAUCAGUACAUGGAAGCCCUGGCUCUAUGCUAUGAAAAGGGUAGAAACCUCAGAGUCGCUUACCCAGCGCCUGCCAGAGGAGCUGCGGGGAGAAACGAGUCUGGUCCUGCACCAGCCUGGCAGCCUUUGCAGAACACGGGCUUCUUGCAAGAGCAGAAAGGCACCACUCGGUAGUUAAAAGACAACUUAAAGUUGUCAGAGUAGUUACACAACAGGGGGUUCUGCCAGUCUUGGUGAUAUUCUUCAGCUUCAUUUACAUUUCUAAAGUGAAUCGAGCCCUUCACCUGGGAGAUGCUGUAGAAACACAAGGCACUAAUAGCAUGGAAUAUGCAAUAAAAACUAAGCAAUGUAAAACACAUGCAGUAUAAGUGGGAAGAGAAUUCUGUGCAUGCUCUCUGCAGUUGCCUGGGUCUUAAGCAUGCAUUGAAUUGCAGCAAGUAAAGGCUAUGGAGUACAGAUCAUAAACUUGAAUUCCACUGCAAAACUGUGAGGGCAGAGAUCUGACCAUCACUAUAAAAUAUGAGAAGUGGUUUUAGGAGCAUCUGUUUUGAUGAGAGGGAUUUCAGAAUUGCUUUUCAAAGGUCGACUGCACAGCGUUUUCCGAAUAUCAGGCGCCAGGAUUGCUCUUCUCUUUGUAAACCCCCUGAUGUUUCUUGUGCAUUGGCACUGCACCUCGCUGGGGGAGACUUUGUUUCACAAUGGGAUAUUUGGGCACUGUGGUAAUGGGAACUAGGAAAAACUCAGAAGGACUUUCAUGCUGCAUCACAACUUAUCUUCUGCAUAGCAGAAGGAAGGGUUCCAGAUCUUCUGCUUUUUACCUUUAGGAUAUUUAUGGCAAACAUCUCUUAAAUGUCUAUUUUUUUCUGUCUUUCCUACAACAAACAGCUGGGAGAUAAUUCACUCUUAAGUGCUCAGGCUAGCUGUGCUGGCUUUGCUGUUGUGUGUGUCCUGGAAAUGAGCUACAGGUGGCAACGCAAGCUCCAUACUUGGGCACCACCCUAACGUACCGUGUGCCACCCAUACGGACGUUGUUUUUGCAGAGCGAGAACUAAAACCUGGAAGAUGGGCUUGUAAAGUCUCUCUAGUGGAUCGCUGGUGGGAAGGUUUGUCCUUGCUCAGUGCCUGUCCAUGGGGCAGCCGUUGUCACCAGGCUGUUCUGAUGUGCCAAGUUCCUCUGAUCCAUAUUGGGGACCUUGGGGCUUUAUGGGAGGUGAAGGUUGGUGAGGCCGGGAGAGCCUGUGGUGCUGGCACUCUGCCUUGGAUGAGUAGAAAGGACUUUGUGGGGCUUUGGCUCAGGGUCUUGCAGGCCUGGACCUUCCGCCUGCUCCAGCACUUCUACACCACAUCUGGUUCAGUGAUGGUGCCUACAAGCCUCUCAUGGACCAGACACUACAUGAACUGAGAGCGGCUGAUUUCCCAUCCCAGCAGAAGAAUGCUUUUGGGAAGGAGAGCUGGAGGUGGCCGUACCAGUCCCGUGGAGCACUGCAGAGGAGUUCCCUGGGACAGAAAGUACAGGAACGUCCAGGUGAGGAAACUGAGGCACAGAAGUGUUUUGGGGCUACCAAGGUACCAGAGUCUCUGAAGAACCCAGCUUGUCUCCAGAUUCAUGGGCUAAUUGGAGGACAGCCCACCUGUGCAUGUCUCUGUGUUUGUAAAUCCUGGGUCUAGACUAAUGCGAUACUCAGGGGGUUUGAACAUGCAGCAGUUUGCCAGUGAACGAUGGCUUCCAUCUUCUUUGGAUGGCAACAUGGCCUUAGUGCUGCGGUGGUGUCACUCAGGCCGUGUUGGGAAGCGAGGGCAGUGCUGCCGUGUCUGUGGCUGAGCAAGCAGGUGACGCGAGGCCGCGUGUCACAGCGGAUCCCAGAGCGCUUCUCAAGGGAGCGGGAAAAGCCGUGAGUGGGUAGAUGCCCACUGCUAAGGUUCAAAUCCCACUUUCAGUGCAGAUUCUGUAUGUGACUGUAAGAUGUGGAUUUUUAAAGGGGCUUAGGGGCCGUUUCUCCAAAGUGUUUUUAGGGAAGGGCUCCUCUUGUCUAAUGUUGGCCUUGUACAGCCAGUCCCAGCGAGGCCUUUGCUGCUGGUCUUGACUGUGUCUGGGGCAGGUCAGUCUGGAUGGGCUUUGCUUUCAAGAAUUAGACAGAAUUCAAAGGAAAUUGCUUGGCACAGACACCUAGUUUUGAAGUGAGAGAGGUUUGACUGCUGGAGGGAUCUUGGUGGGUUUAGGAAGCUUUGCACUUCACCUUAGGUGCUUAAGUAAUUCCUCAUACAAUGCAGUAUCUUCUGAAAUGUGAUCUUUAGGCUCUUUAUGUCUCCGUUGUGCGUAAAAUGAAAAUGCUAGUUAAUACUGAGAAGUGUUCUGGGGAUACAGUCUCACACAUGCGAAAGGCAACUGCAGUUCUUGUAGUCUCUAAAGCACCAGGCUGUGAGUCAUCCAGCCUCUGAAGGCUCUGGUUAAGAAGCAGGAGCAUUUCAAUGUACCUCAUUAGGGCUGAAUCUCCAGCACUGUCUGUAGUCACACACCAAAUGUAUUCAUCUCAAAAAGGGCAAAUGUUGAGAAAUUAAGGGAACUAAUUAGUGGAAUCAACUGUGCUGAAGAGCUGAGGAGUUGAAUGUGAUGGAAACUGGAUUCCAAAACUAGUUGGAACAUGCAGGAGGACAAACCCUGAAGGGAAACACUCCAAAACCAGUGGGAUAAAUGACCAGCCCCAAACACAUAUGGGGAGUUAACGGGGAGCAGGCAAGGAAUGGACAGAUCUGAUCAGCAAGAGGGUGUUUGGUUCACAUGCAGCCAGGGACUGAAGUCAGGUGUCGGGAGGGGAUCCACCAGUGGCCACCCGUCUACAUAUGGCUUGACUAUGAAUUAAAAACACGUUGCCUACAUUUUCAGAUCAUGUUGAACAGCAGGGCAAAGACAGGAUUUCCAGCAGGAACAUAAAUAAGGAAUGAAAAUUAUCACAUAUAAGAUGGAAAGAAAAGCUUAAAGAAUUCGGUGUGCUCAGAUCAAGGUGCACUGGCAGAUUUCCAUCCCAGGAUUUGGAAAGAACUGGCACAUUAAAGGAGCUCAGCUUAACCUCAUAUUUCUCUUUGAUGACUGAUUUUUUUUUCUACACAAAUGAAAUACAGGUGAUUUACUCUAUCCAGACUUGACUCAAGAAUCUGAUAUUAUACCACAUGGGAAAUUACUCGUUGAAGUUGAGAAGAUGGGGAUUAGUGCAGACGGCAAAUGCAGAACUGCUAAAGCAAAUGACAAGGAGCUCUGUGGAAAGGAGAAACGCGGGACAGAGGCGGUUAAUACGUGGAACUCCUCAAAGGAAAAGCCAUCCCUAAUGGGCAAAUCCGUGGUGUCAGCACGAUGCGGGAACAGGGCGGCUGCAUUAACUGGUGCCACUCAGCUCCUUGCUUGGAAAACCCCACUGGCCCGUCAGGCCAUGGAGAUGAUGAAGGACACAUCAAAGGCCUGAAAAACAAGCCAGCGUUUCUGUAACGUAUUAAUCACCCCAUGCGGGGCCGGGUGUGGGAAUGGGGAGAGGGUGCGCUCUCUCUCUCAUCACACGCAUGUUUUCUAUCUAAGCUUUGUUUCCGCUGGAUCUUCCCCACUAACGCAUCCUUCUUUAGCACCUUGUACUCAUUUAUUGCCAGGCUGUUUAGCAGCACAAAUCAAUUAAGUCCUGCAGAAACCCACUGAGACAGAGUGUGGUUCCUAUCUCUGGUUCAGCUGGGGUGGGAGGUGUGCAGAGGUUAAGCCUGGACUUGUUGCUGCCCAUCCAACUGCAGCACCAGGCUUAGCGUGCAAGAGUGAGCGCUCACCAUUAAUCAUGAGUGUGCCAUGGUCCGUGGCUAUUUUAAUCACUGUUGAAAUACACAUGCAGUUCCCGAUCCUAAAAAUGGUAUUUGACUCCAAUGCACAUGAUUUCCUUUGGCUUCCUUUCCCCACUUAAAAGCAAGCCAUAACUCCUGGGAAGCGCACGCGCUGGCAUCCAUACAUUGCUUCUCGGCUGUCAUGGAGCAAAAAAGUUGGUUCUCCCUGUAGCAUAAGAUCUGUGCUGCCAGACAUAAAUAUCAGAAUAUAUUGUAAUGGGCUACUGUGGUAUGGAUGUGGGGUGGCUGUUGUGACCACAGGCUGGUGGCCAAAACCUGUCCCAUGUCAUGGAGCACUGGAAAUGCCAUUGGCCCCACUGUCGCAUUAGUCCUUUAUUAUGUAAUGAUUAAAAACGGCUCUUGUAUAUGCUGGCACUAAUUAGGGGAUGUCAGUUGGUGCCAGUGGAUGAAGGAGAAGUGUGUUUGUAAACUGCAGGCUGCAGAAACCACUAAGACUUUUUUAAUUUUUCCUUUAAAAAAUGCUGAACAAAAGUCACAGGAAAUUUAGUGGGAAAAAUUGCUCAUCCACAGAGUGAGGAGCGCAGUCAGUCGGGUACACUAGUCAUCCAGGAUCCCUUCAGCAUUUAUCACAUUGCGUCAGGUUAUGGGAACCAUGACAAAUAGUCAAGACAGCUAUGGACAGUUAUAAUGUAGGAUUUAACGCAUUGCACCUGACACUGUUUUUUUUCUUGUAUCUUUAUUUUUCCCCCCCUUUUAUUUUUAAAGCUGCACAUAAAGCAGCAUCGGGCUCAGUAACGAGAGGCCUUUCUGUCUGCUGGGCUUCCAGAUUAGGAAACCAAAUCCUGCUACAAUGACAUAACGAAGUUUUCAACCUUGCUGUUGCAAAGACAGGUGCACACACACGUCACACUGUCCUCAUCAGCUGAUGCAUUUGUGUGCUUGAGACUCAGGGAAGCCUGUUCACUUCACUUUACGACGGUUUAGUUUGGUUUUGCUCUUCAGAAAGUACCAAAUAUCAACCUUUGAACCCCAGGAAAUUCAAAGUGGGCACCAGAACAGGGUCCAGCUCUUGCCAGGGCCAGUUCUGCUAAAGCCAGAGGCUCCUUGAGAACUUGGAUUUCUUCAGUAUUGCUGAAAAAGAAAUGUUUAAACUAUGACCAAAAAUUGCCUAAAUAACCAUAUUUCCUCUGUAAAGCAGCUAUUUAUCAGGAACUACAGCAAACUGCCAAAGGCCUUCAGUAGAUGGAAGGAGAUUUGCCUGUAAAAUUAUUUCCUGCACUAGUUUUAUUCCAUUUAUGUGGCUGACAUACAAUUUCUGUUUGAAUGUACCACGUUAAGCUAUUCUGGACAGAAGUUGAGCACUAAAAGCGGCUGCUAAUAUUACAGGGCAGUUCAGAAAGUGUCCCCUGCAGCCUGGAAUGCUGGUGCUUGAAAGACGUUAAUCGAAUUGCUUGUACUUGAAGAGCAAUUUGGUUUUUUUCCUUUUCCCUGUUGGGAUCUCAUCCUGCAACCUUUGCUGCCUUGCAUCUAUUCUUUGUGGGCUGUUGUAACACUCUCACCAAUUGAGAUGCUCUGUGUAUGAGUAGUGGGUCAAGUUUAGUUCAUCUGCCGUUAUCCAUUUUUCAGGGAAAGAAUUGUGUUCGUGCAAGUACCAGGGUGUUUUAUUUCAGGAGGGUCUAUUUUAAUGGCCAUGUUACCUAGCAUAGACUAGGGAUGGCAACAUCACUCUGGUGCAAAGCUUAAGGCUGAUGGCAUCACCUGAGAUGGGAACUUGCAGUUUGCCAUAAGGUACAAGACCCAAGGUUAUGAAGCGCUGGACCAGCCUGUCAGACAUUUAUGUAUGCAGAGUUCCUAUAGAACACGAGAAAAUGAUCCAUUCAUCGGGGCACUGGCUUUAGAAUGAAUUGCAGGAGUUGCUCUGUGCACAGCCUUUGUUAGAGGAUUCAGACUCGUCCCUCUGACUUUAAAAUCCAUAAGUGGAUUCUCUUGAUAGUGGCAGAGCAGAGGUAGGAAGAAGCUGGGGAGGCUUAUUCCAGUAUUUCAGAGCAGAAAUGUGUUUAUUUAAACAUAUAAAUAUUCUUAUUUUGAGUAAGGUGGAGAUACUAAAGAUAAAAAUUGUAACAUAGAAACACAUCCAAAAAAGUUAAAAGCCCUCAUUUCAGAUCUCCCUGUUUUCAGCACAAAGAAUAUUCCACUGCAGUAGGCGGUUGCUCUGCAGCCUGUUAGCGGUUGAGGCGAUUCUGUCCAGUUGGUUUUGUAGGUAACAGAAUAAACUGAUUCCAUCCACACAUCUUGCCAAGGAAACAUUCCAGCCCUUCCAUCUUAUUUCAGUAUCAGAUGAAGACACAAGAGUUGCGAGAUGAAGAAAUCCUUGUGGAGCGGAGCAGAGGGUCCAGGGCUUCCUGUGGUGAGGCCAUCUCAGAAACCAAAGGUGACGAAGCAAGAAGUCCUGAACCAAACAGUUCCAAAGCGGCACAUUCCUGGAGUCAGCCUGCAGGGAAGGAUGCGCCCGGGACGGUCCUGUGAGGCCUUGAGCAGCACAAGCUCCUUUGUUCCCAGAUGGCUGAACAGCACCCGUCUGGCACUGAGGGUAAGUUCUUGCGCCCAUUGUCUCAUCUUAUCUAGUCACACAGUCGCUGGGACACAGAUUGUCCUUUAGGGCUUGCUGACACAGGGCAGUUGACUAUUCUGCAAUAGCUACAGCAGGAUGACUUCAUGUGAACACACUCAUUCCACAGCAGCUGGUACCGCUCCCGAUUCAUACCAUACCUUAACUGGAGCAGCGUCAGGGUGUCAGUGUGCCUUACAGUGCUACGCGGGACCUGGACUCAGUUUGGGCUUCUAGUCACUUCUCAUGUACAAAGAAUUCAGCUUUAAGAAAAGCAGCUGAAAUGCUCCUGAGAAUAACAAAUAACAAAUUAGUAAAUCUUGCUCCAGAGCCAUAUAAUCCAAUUAAAAAUAGAUAAGUGACAUGUAAAGGCAGGUCUACCUAGAUGGUAUGCUAAAGAAACAAAAAAAAGCACAUGCAUUUCUAAUCUGUUGGCACAUCCAUAUAAAGCAGAAUUAAUUGAUAAUCAUAUCAGUGAAUUGAUAAGCAUUAUAAAAGCCUUAAACAAAGCGUUUUCAAAAAGAUGAUGAGUAAUCCAACCAGACAGUGCCAAAAGGGACUGUAGCUGUCGUGGGACCAGAUUAAUUGGUCUAUCCAUACCCCUAGGCAGAGUUACUAAAGGCUAAAUGCUUGGAACAUUGGUGCAGAGUUCAAUGAAAAUAAAAACUUUUACUCAACAUAUAGAAGCUCUUAGAAAUGCAGAUGAAGUUAGAAGGCAUUAAAAUGACAAAUAAUUUAAUAUUAUUGUUCUAUUUAACAAAUUGCUUCUCUGCAUGCAGUUACUGCAUCCUGGUCUGAUCUGAGAAAAUGAGGCAACUAAUGCUCAGAGAAAGGUGCUGAGGAUGAGCAGAGACCUGCAACGGCCUCGAGCGGUUCGGCAGAAGAGCAGUAAAGCAGAGCUGGGGAGGUGAGUGGUUGGGGUGGGGGGCUCUAUCUCUGGGGUUGGGUGUGAGCACCUCUGCUUGCAUUUCACUCUGGGCGGGGGACUUUGCAAGACAGACAGGACAGGGAGAGAAAACACUUGGUUUGUUUCAUUUCCCCACUUUGGGCUUCAUACCAAGCACACUCUCCACACCACAGUUCACAGCAGCAUGUUUUCAGCUCCGGUUGAACAGAAAUGCUCUCCCCAGCCUGAAGCAUUGCUCCGAUUCACAAACAAGCCGUGUGAGCACUUUCCUUCCAGGCCUCCCCGUGCCGGAGGUCACAGUUGACCAUUGCAAGAACAAUAAGGAUUUUUAGGGGCAUUAUGACUGGGUUAGCAAAACACAGCUGCCCCUGAAAGUCCCUCAUUUUUCUUGCUGCCGCUCAGUCCGUCCCUAGGAGGGCAGAGGUCUGACAAGGUCCUUUCUCUCCAACACGGCUGUGCCAUCUCAUGCUGGCACACACGGCUUUGCUGAUGUCCCCAGGAGCCCCCCAGCCGUGACACAGCCAGCAGAAGGUGUGGAACUGGUGUCAUCCCCGCAGGCUCCCUCCUGAGCAAACAUCACACUGCAUUUUAGUGUAAGGCAGAUUUGUCUGUCUGUCACUCAGCAGAAAUGCCAUCAAGCAAAGCCUGGCACAGCUGGCUGCAAGCAGCCCUCAGAUACCCCAGACUGCUGGGGCAGAAGGUAAUAACAGCUCAUCCUGCAAACACCCACGGUGCUGGCAAUCAGUGAGCACUGGCGCGGUGUCCAGGAGCAGUGGAGACGCCAGGGCCGAGCAGCUCUCUGCACGGACACCGCUGCACAUCCUGCACUUGUACAUCGUGACCUGCGAUCCCCAGGCUGCCCAGCUGCAGCACCCACCUGCCUGACCGCAGAAGCAGUUGCUGUUUAUUUAUUAAUACCUGGGAUUUUAAUUAGGGAAUCACUACUGAUUUCUCAACAACUUCCUACUUAAGGAAAUAUCAGAAAAAGAUCUAUAGGUUCCCUACUGAAAAUGUACCAAAUAGUUGGCUGGGAAAUUUCAACUCUCACUCCCAAGUCCUCCUGGAAAGCCCAGCCCAGCCCAGCAUACCCUUAGGACAAUGAGCAACAUUUUCCUUUUAAUUCAUCAGUAAUUUGAAUUUUGAUGGAGGUGGAUUCAACAGAAACUACAGGCAGAUUCCCACAAUUCUGCUCUGUUGUUUCUCCAUGAACUACAGGGUGCUAGGACGUAUCCACCCCCAUGGUGGGCUUGCAACCAUCCCUGCAAGCCGCAGCCAAGAGGGAUUUUAUGACAGGCUUCCACCAUGUUUGUGGAAGAGCAGGGAACCCCUGAAGACUCUCAGGGCUUUUUUUUUCUUGCAGCAAAGACAUCGUGUCCCUCAGGAGAGAACCCUUUUCCCCAUUCCCAAUUACAAUCUAGGAAGAACCUGUCUCUGAAAACCUGCAAGGUGCGCAGCCAUCUCCCAGAGCACAGAGCCCUCCGCCUGCCCCGGCCCAAGCACGCACCGGCCUCAACCGCUGUGUGACAUUCAGCUCCAAAACAAAGAGGCCGAGUUGCCACAUUGAGCCAGAGCAGCAUCUUGUUUGGAGCUGCUGCAGUUCAAACAUGCCAUCUCCAGGGACACGCACACAUGCAAUGGAAACGCCGAGGCUUGGGGCAGUCACAAAGAUCCCAGCCACGUGCAACACAAGAUGAAUAUCCUUGCCCGUCCCAACAGAAGGUGACAGUCUGCAGUAGCAGGCAACCUGGCAAAAAACACCCGAGAGUCUCUUAUUACAGUGCAAAGCCACACCUUACUUUCAUUAGAAUUUCUUCUACGGCUUGCAAGUCAAAUGAAAGCAAACCCUGUGUCCUGAUUUGUUCAUAAAACAUGAGCCAUGAUUCCGAUCCAAAUAUUAUUUGCAUCUUUGAGAAAAUUACAACAGCAGUAUAAUAAUAAUUAAAAAAAAGCAGCAGCCCUCUGAAUGCUAAUGACGUUGGUGUCCUAAAUGAAGCACAAAAGCCAGAGUCUGCAAGAAGCAAAACAUGAGUCAGAGCAUCAGCAGUCCCACACUGAAAGCAGCACUCAUGGCUGCUUCAUUCAUUUAAGGAAUCAAUUCCUUUGUAAUGAGCAUCAAGUAGUUUUAGGACUCAAAUUAAAAUGAGAUGCAUGCUGUUAUUAUUUUCAAAAGUUCUUUCUUUUUUUCUUGGAUUGACAAUAAACGACUCCUCUGUAGUUGGAAGGAGCCCCAGGCAUGGACCAGGUCCCUGUGGCACUUGCCAUUGUACGGACACGGAAGAAAAUCCAAUGAGCCCCUGCCUCAGGGAGACCACAGCCUCCCCAGCACCAGCACACAGAGCACACCCACGUACAGAAAAGCAGGUAAUCAGAAUCGUUGCAGAUUUCAGCCUGGGUAGGCUGUCUCACCCCAAUUUUAUUUUACUCGCAUCGGGUUGCUGGCAGAUUCCAGCGAGGAUGGAUGUGUGCUGCUGCGGGGAACGCCUUCACGGAGCCUUUACAUGUUCCUUCUCAGGCUGCAAAGCCAGCGGGAGGCUGCGUGUGCUCGCUGAGGGGAAUCCUGCCCAGGCCGCUCGCAGCUCCUUGCCACCCCAGUUCCACUUCUAGGUGAGGCACGAUCAGAUCUUCAUCAGCAGAGCACAGAUCUCUAGGCUACACUGAUGUUAUCAGGCUGAUUUGGGACUGAAGUCUUUUUGGUGCAUUGGAUUUGAAACUCAGAAAACACAAGAACAGCACAAAAGCAAACCAAAGGUAAAAAAUUAUUGCAGUUUCUAGAAUUCUUCCAGCUUUAGUCAUCAAAAGGGAUUGUUAGAAACAGACAAAGGGCUGUUUCCCUUAUUUUUUGUAAGUGUGAAUUUUGUCCUGACAGUUUCCUUUCAGAAACAAAAAUUGAAAACAAAUUGUCCUAUACACAAAACAAAGGGACAGACCCUCAGCUGGAAUGGACUGGUAUUACCAAAGAACAACACCCACUCACAGGAGAGACUGUGGCCCUUUUAACGGCUGCUGAUCCUGCUCUGCCCAGACAAGAGCUUCAGCCUCUGGUUCUAGCACUGGCUCUAGGUAGCUUGAAAAAAGUCAAAGGGGCUGUCUUCAGAGCAGCUGAAAACACAGCAGGGCUCCAAGGACUGCACACUUCCCAAACCUGGAGCCAGCUCCAGGUGCGUAAGCCAGCAAACACAACAGCAAGAAAAUAACCGAUACCAACAUGGACCUGAAAUUCAUGAGCUGCUCUGGAGAAAUGCUGGCAAAGCAGGCUUCCAGAAACCACUUACAUGUGGGGUUUACUUUCUGAAAAGAGGCUUGUCUCAGAUUUUUCUCUCAAAACCAAGACUAAGCUGAUCAUCAUCUUGAAAAUGACAUGAGAAGUCCCCAGGAAAAUAUUAACUGUGCAGUGCAGAACAAAUGCAUGACUAACUGUGAUCCAUCCCAGCCCCCAUGAGAGGCCGUGACACAGCACUAUUGCACCCGGCGUUUGGGAAACGCCAUCAGCCAUGAGCAAGUUACUAAGAGCAGCAGUUAUUGGCUUUGGGUCCUGUCAGCACACAGGAUGACUCUCAUCGGGCUGUCCUUUGUUCAGGCCCAAGCACGCUCCAGAAGUGCCCAUGUUAGCCAGGUUCGUUAGUCUCCCUCACCCACAAGACAACAAAGACAUACACACUAGGAAAAUUCAGGCAGUGCCUCACUUCACCAAGGAACAGACGACAUCCCCAUUGCCGCCGUCUCCAGCAGCAAGAGCUGCCCGGCCUCCGCAUGGAGGGACCCAAAAGUGAACAAACUCCUGAGCACAAGUGGAAGAGCAACCAUCCUCUAGGGUGACAAGGGUGGGUUUGGGCACGUGCAUUUUACAUUUCACUCCCUUUGCAAUCCUGAGUUUGGAGCAUCACUUCUCCUCCCUCCCACCCUCAACAUCAGCAGAGGAACUGGAAAGCCAGAGUUAUUUUUAGGAGAUAGUACAUUUAGGCCCUGUUAAUCUUGACUGGGUCCCUUUGAAAAUGACGUGGUUGGGUAAUCAAACACAUUACACAGACUUUCCAUGGAGGCCGCUUUGAAAAUGAGCCUCCACCGUUCAGCAAAGUGGGAGCCAACAGUUCGAAUAGUAACGUUUGAUGCUGCACUGACUUGCCUCAUUGUGGUGACCUCACUAAUAUUUUUAUGCAAAGGCACGAAGAACAAAGAAAUUAAAGCAGCUAACUGACGUUAAGUAUAAAAACUAAAACAAUUAGUCAUCAAAAAGCCUUCUAGAGGGUGCUGGAGUACACCCACCUUGCAUGGCAAGAGACCAUUACCUGGCUCAGGCUGGCCAAGAAGAGGAUGGCAGUGCUGCCCUGUCAAAUAGAGAGGCCAAAUGAGCACGUUGGCAAAAUGCGCUCAGAGCAACUCAGAAGGGAGCUGCUGGUGUGAUGACUGAAGUAUUACACUGGUUGGCACAAGGAAGGGUGCAGGGAAGGAGAACACUGGGAGGAAAACACCAGGGGAGGAGCUCUGGCUCAUAGGGGCUCCAUGACGGCCAGUGAGUUCACCCGGGCACAGCCAACCAGCCCAGCCUGGCCACAGCUGUCCCACUGAAGUCCAAGCCACCAAAAGAAGUGGGGGGCCACACCUGCACACCUGUGGAUGAUGGUCCUUCGCUCAUAGUGACUUUCAGACCAUAGUCAGGACUGGCUGCAGGAGUCCCAGGCUUCUACCUAAAUUCUGACCAGCACGUUACAAGCAAAGCUGCCAGGCGGAAGCUGUGCAGAUUGGGCUUUGCUGGAACAGAACCUGGUCUGGCCGGCAGUAAGGGAAGCAAAGAGUUAUAGGAGAGCAGCAGGAAAUCGCCAAGCAAAAGGGAUUUUUAAAUCAUUUAACUUUAAACAAAACGAAGGCAUUAGCGUAAAGUAAAUGGCCACACCUUGCUACUUAUGUGGUUCUGCUAACAAGACCAGCUUUUCCAUAGCUAUUCAAAUAUAAUGAGGCCUGGGUGCCUAACUCACUGGGGUUUAAGCUCAUUUCCAAACUCCAGCCAAAAAUCACUUUCUGAUUCACCACUUUCUCAGGCACACCAGUAUUUAGAGAACACCUGCAGGCUGGUACUCUGCUCCACAAAGUACAUAAGCACAUGUUUAAUUACUCCAUGGACGUGAUUAAUUCUAUGCUUAAAGUUAAGCAUGUGCUUAAGCGUGCUACUGCCCUGGAAUUUUCACUGGAUCUGUCAGGUAUUCUGAUGAUCCCUAUUUUCCCAUUCUUUGAGGCUCCAUAAGUGGAAAGAAUGUUAAGAGUAUUCCUCGGGUCAUACACCCCAAAGAAUUCACCCAAAUCUGGUGUCUGACUUCGUGUUCUUAAAUUACAACUUUUGUACUUAUUCUCCCCAUGUUCCCACCAAUACUGAUUAUCAGCAUGACAAUAGCAUGCAUGUUAUCAGGAUAUGUUAGCAUUAAAACAUGAGAUACUUAUUACAAUGAACAAGCUUUUAAAAAGCUUUGAGCUUAGUUUUUGCCUUUCCUGAAUAGGGCUUUGAGUAAGAACUUAAUUUCAUUUGCACAUUUUAGGGAUUAAUUCCCUUAUGCCUGGGCAGUGUACAAUGUCCUAAAAAAAAUAUGAAUCAUAUCAUUAAAACUGUUGCCCCUGCUGGCAGUGGACUCAUCACAUGGAAGAACUCGAGCAUAAAAUAUGCAUCAGCUAUGGGUGGUCACGUAAAUUCACAUUUCAUUAGUCACAGCAUACAUGAUCCUGGGGAUUUUCUUCACUGCACUUUUCCACCUUUUCAGCAAGUGCUUAUUCCUAAUUCAUAAUAAUUUCAGGAAGGUCGAAUUGUAUCCGUUCCCCAGGGAGGAGCAAGCAGAGGACACUGGCAUCUGAAAGCUCCAUUUUUUUUUUUUUUAAGACAAAACUGCCUGUUUUCUGACUCAGGAAAUCGCCACUCGAGGAUGCUGGAUGGGCUGGACUAGAGCCGCUUCUCGAGGCAGAUGUGUGACCCGUCUGCGCUGCCAGCUGGAGCAUCGCGAACUCGGGAACACCCGUGCCCCAGGUUCACCCACUAAAAUCAUUUAAUAUUGACAAGCCAAGAGAUUUCAAUUACAACACAGCACGUGGAAAAAAGUUUUCAACAACCAAGAGCACACAGGAGUUGAUUACGAGAGAGGAGACACAUGUCUCUGAAGGAAGCCUUCUGUGAAGAAAACAGAUACAAUAAUUGAUAAACAUUUUGGCUGCUUCUAACUUGUGCCAUCACAUGCUAUUUGUUGCCAGUAUAGUCAUGAAAAGCACUUAUUUUGGAUACCAGGACGCAAGAGAGGAAAAAGCCAGUCAGCGCUGGCUGGCUGGGCCUGGGUGCCCUCGCUCUUCUCACAGCACUAAUAUCAUGAAAUCAAACUCUUAAGCUAUGUUGCUCUCUGCUUAAGAUGUUGCUGUUUCAUAGUAAGUUUACAGCUCUUUUUUUGCUACAAAAUGCAGUAAAAUCUGUCACAAAACAAUGAAGUCUAUAUCACUAGGGAACCUAGCAUUCAUCUGUAGGUUUGGGAGAAUUUACAUGACUUUUUCUCUCAUUUCAGCAUUACUUCACAGUGAUAACUCUGAAAUGUUUUCCUAAAAGGACCAGAUUCCCAGAUACAGGUUCAGUCACCAAAAUGAGAGGACGGGACAAAUCCUGAGCUGGUGCAGACCAGGAUAUCCCCAUUGGCUUACAGGAGAUGUUUUACUUAGCAAUGGGCACAGCUGCUGUUUCUUUAGAGAGCUGUAAAUUCCUUCUGUGAUGUAGACAACCUACAAGUCUAAUUUAUAUUUUAAGAUUUAAGUCCUAUCAGAUGUUUUGAAACGAAACUACAGCUUGUGUUCUUUUUGAAGGCAAUAAUAUCUGAAAAGUGUAAAGACAUCCAAAACUUUAUGUAACUAGUAUUAUAUAACACCUUAAACUGGCUCAUAGGCAUUUUCCUUACUCUGAAUUUAUUACAGUUUUAUUUGGGGCAUGUGAAACAACUCACUACACAAGUGCAGUCACUCACAUGGGGUUGGGUUAGGGGGAGAGAGUUCACUCCAGUGGAAAUUCUACAGUGUAGAAUAUGUUUGCAAAGAUGUCUGCAAAGAAACACUGUUAGAAAAAACCAUUUCAUUGUGUCUCACUGCCCUUAAUGGCCAUUGAUGACAAAGAUUAAAUAAGUCCUGGAAAGAGGCGAGAGAUAGUGUUCGUUUUAAAGGCCAAAUGCAUGCAGAAGCUCCGACUGCAUAUAGCAUUAAUGUCAUAAAUGAGUGUGAAUGUUCUCAUUCAGGCUAUAAUUUAUUCCCCAAGGAGAUGCAAAACUAGCACAAAUAUGCUACAUGCAAACCAAACUCUUCCAGUGAAGCGAGUGCAGUGAGUGAAUCCUGGAGCUUAAUUUAGGCUGGGACUUGGAGUAACCCAACUCUGAUCUCGGCGCAGCACUAACCUGGCUCUGAUCUCGGCGCAGCACUAACCUGGCUCUGAUCUCGGCGCAGCACUUUGAGCGGCAGCUCACAACCAUUGGGAAGUGAGUCAGUGAAGUUCUCCUUUGUUACAGCCUAUUUUGGAUGAAGUUUUUGGAACUGUUUACUAACUCAGAUUAAAGAAAUUCAGCUGAAAUGAGUUAAGUUUCGUUGUUCAGUGUGAUUGUUAAAAAAAAAAAUAAAGUGUUUUAAAAUGUAGAUUCAAGCUGGUUUUUGGCUGCAUACAAUACCCCGUGUGAAACAGACACUUAAUAAAUCGAAAGCCAUAUGUAAAACACUAAAUGUAGAGCUGAAUAAUCCACAACAUGGGAAAAAAAUUGAAUGCUGUAAAUACCCAAUUAGUUUUUUUCACAAAUGACAUUAUUUGUUUGGCUUUAUGGUCCAAGGUAAAUUAGAAUGGGCAAGCUCCUUUGUGAUUAAGCACUUCUCUGUUUCUUUUUCAGUACAACUGUUACAUUUGUAUGUGAACAUUUUCCUUGACCAGAAAUGUUUCCUUCAAAAUUAAUAGAUGAAGUCACAAUUACACAAAAUAUCUUUGUAGUCAAAGCAGAUCGUGUAAUAAAAAACAUUUUAAAUGCAA